ACUGCUCAGUAACACGUGGAUAACCUGCCCUUGGGUCCGGCAUAACCCCGGGAAACUGGGGAUAAUUCCGGAUAACACAUAUAUGCUGGAAUGCUUUAUGCGUAAAAUGGAUUCGUCUGCCCAAGGAUGGGUCUGCGGCCUAUCAGGUAGUAGUGGGUGUAAUGUACCUACUAGCCUACGACGGGUACGGGUUGUGAGAGCAAGAGCCCGGAGAUGGAUUCUGAGACAUGAAUCCAGGCCCUACGGGGCGCAGCAGGCGCGAAAACUUUACAAUGCGGGAAACCGUGAUAAGGGGGCACCGAGUGCCAGCAUCAUAUGCUGGCUGUCCAGGUGUGUAAAAUACACCUGUUAGCAAGGGCCGGGCAAGACCGGUGCCAGCCGCCGCGGUAACACCGGCGGCCCGAGUGGUGAUCGUGAUUAUUGGGUCUAAAGGGUCCGUAGCCGGUUUGGUCAGUCCUCCGGGAAAUCUGACAGCUUAACUGUUAGGCUUUCGGAGGAUACUGCCAGACUUGGAACCGGGAGAGGUAAGAGGUACUACAGGGGUAGGAGUGAAAUCUUGUAAUCCCUGUGAGACCACCUGUGGCGAAGGCGUCUUACCAGAACGGGUUCGACGGUGAGGGACGAAAGCUGGGGGCACGAACCGGAUUAGAUACCCGGGUAGUCCCAGCCGUAAACGAUGCUCGCUAGGUGUCAGGCAUGGCGCGACCGUGUCUGGUGCCGCAGGGAAGCCGUGAAGCGAGCCACCUGGGAAGUACGGCCGCAAGGCUGAAACUUAAAGGAAUUGGCGGGGGAGCAC
rnacentral:rRNA from 1 species